rnacentral:rRNA from 1 species
GUGCCAGCAGCCGCGGUAAAACGUAGGAGACAAACGUUAUCCGGAGUUACUGGGCGUAAAGGGCGUGUAGGUGGUUGCGUAAGUCUGGCGUGAAAUUUUUCGGCUUAACCGGGAAAGGUCGUCGGAUACUGCGUAGCUAGAGGACGGUAGAGGCGUGUGGAAUUCCGGGUGUAGUGGUGAAAUGCGUAGAGAUCCGGAGGAACACCAGUGGCGAAGGCGACACGCUGGGCCGUACCUGACACUGAUGCGCGACAGCAUGGGGAGCAAACAGGAUUAGAAACCCUUGUAGUCC